rnacentral:siRNA from 1 species
UACAAAAGAACUCUACGCGGGUAC